ACAGCCUCUCUCUCAGACAUGAGGGGAAGUGAGAGUGGAGCGUGUGGUCAGCGCUGCUCGGCAGCAUCAGCCCUGUGACAGGAACGUCUCCACACUGCGUCCGUGUCUCACAGUCACAAACAGCUGUGCACAGCUGUGCUCUGUCUUCAGGGUCGGAGGUCAGAGUUAGCAUCAUGCUAUCAGCUCUGUGGAUUUAUGGGAAUCAGCUGAUCGAGACUGAGGUUUGAACACAGCUGGAUCUGUGUGUGUUUGAAAUGUGUUGAUAGUAAAAGCACUGCAGUGAUGAUGGGACGACCUUCUCCGGAUCCCUCAAAGCUCAGCCCAACAUCUAGAACAUCUGGGCUCUGCUGUUCGAUCAGGUCCAGCUGCAGAGCUGCUGAUGACGACUGUCUCUGAGACACGUCUCCUUCAUCCCUGUAACCGUGGAAACCUGAACUCAUGUCAAACUGAGAGCAGAGAGUCGGCCACACUGAUGUUACCGACGCGUUCUAAAGGUUCUUUAAAGAACGCAGAACAAAUGAGACAUCGUGUCAUCACAGCAUCAGUGAUCCCUGCAGGAAACCAGCACAGAGGCGGAUCCAGACAGGAAGCAGUUAAAGACACCCUGAAGGACUUCGGCAAAGGGUUAAUGUUCAGGAAGAGAAGAAGAAGAAGCUCCCUGACGUCGUGUUCACGUUUCAUCUACGUUACUUUCUUUCUUUAGUUUCUAGCUCUGUAGUCUCUUUCUCCUCAGUGACCACAGCACUUCCAGCCUUGUUCAUUAUAUUUUAUCAUGGUGCCCUUGUACACAGCCCCACAGUGUUUCCUGUAACUCAAACUUCUUAUAUUGGUUUCUACACUUUUGCAUCUUUGUUGUUUUGCUACCUAAUUUUGCCGUGAAAGCAACUGCACAAUGACAACACUUAAGUUUAUACUUUUAUUGAUUCACAGUUUGUCAGUCCAGUUUCUAGUUGACUGUUUCAGUUGAAAUGUUUGCAUUUAAUUAUUUAUUAGUUGACAUAAUAAAGUCUGACUCUUCUUUAUAACCAUGUACAGGGUGUUUAGUCCAAAGCAGAAUUAAUAAACGCUGUCGGUCAUGUGGACGUCCGUUUGUCAGACAGAUGAAGUUGAACCUGCUCAGACUCACAGUGCUGUCACACUUCAUCACAGGCUCCUGCUAUCCGAUCUUAUUAGAUUGUAGUUCCUUCUGUAAAAACUCCAAAUGAUUCCAGUUUCCUAAACUCUGGUUUCUGUCUGAAGUGUCUGAGUGUGCUGACGGUGGCGUGAAGGCUGGUGUUAGUCGUGAGGAUCGUUUCCUCACACAGACUCUGAGCCUCUCUGAGAACAUGCCCAACUCCUCCAAACAGCCACAGGAGUACAUGAAGAAGAAGAAGAGAUGAUGGAGGUCCUACCUGUGAGAGUCAGAGGGUGUCAAAGAGCAGGUGAGCUGCAGAGGAUCAGUGUGAAGGUCAGACAGCAGCGCAGUGACAGAGUGAGGAAGAAAGCGCCCACAGUUUCACGUCUGCACAUCAAAGUCAGUGCCGGGCUCUUAUUGUGGCGGGGUGAGUGCUGCUUUUAUUGCAGUGGUCUGAGUCCCGUGACAGGCUCCUCACACUCUGAGUGCACAUCCUCAGUGGGAGUUCACAGCCUUCAGGUACAAACAGAUGAGGCCCACAGUGGACGUGUGAGGAAACAUCGCCCCCUGCUGCCCAAACAGCACACCUGAAUGAGCUGGUGUUG
ensembl:lncRNA